UGGGGAAUAUUGCGCAAUGGGCGAAAGCCUGGCGCAGCAACGCCGUGUGAGGGAUGAAGGCUUUCGGGUCGUAAACCUCUGUCGGAAGGGAAGAACGGGCACUGGUCUAAUAGGCCUUUGUUUUGACGGUACCUUUAGAGGAAGCACCGGCUAACUCCGUGCCAGCAGCCGCGGUAAUACGGAGGGUGCAAGCGUUAUUCGGAAUUACUGGGCGUAAAGCGGACGUAGGCCGCUUUGUAAGUCAGGGGUGAAAUCCCACGGCUCAACCGUGGAACUGCCCUUGAAACUGCAGAGCUUGAAUCCUGGAGAGGGUGGAGGAAUUCCUGGUGUAGGAGUGAAAUCCGUAGAUAUCAGGAGGAACACCGGUGGCGAAGGCGGCCACCUGGACAGGCAUUGACGCUGAGGUGCGAAAGGGUGGGGAGCAAACAG
rnacentral:rRNA from 1 species